UGGAGAGUUUGAUCCUGGCUCAGGACGAACGCUGGCGGCGUGCUUAAYACAUGCAAGUCSAGCGGUAAGGCCCUUCGGGGUACACGAGCGGCGAACGGGUGAGUAACACGUGGGUGAUCUGCCCUGUACUUCGGGAUAAGCCUGGGAAACUGGGUCUAAUACCGGAUAUGACCUUACAUCGCAUGGUGUUUGGUGGAAAGAUUUAUCGGUACAGGAUGGGCCCGCGGCCUAUCAGCUUGUUGGUGGGGUAAUGGCCUACCAAGGCGACGACGGGUAGCCGGCCUGAGAGGGCGACCGGCCACACUGGGACUGAGACACGGCCCAGACUCCUACGGGAGGCAGCAGUGGGGAAUAUUGCACAAUGGGCGAAAGCCUGAUGCAGCGACGCCGCGUGAGGGAUGACGGCCUUCGGGUUGUAAACCUCUUUCGACAGGGACGAAGCGCAAGUGACGGUACCUGUAGAAGAAGCACCGGCCAACUACGUGCCAGCAGCCGCGGUAAUA
rnacentral:rRNA from 1 species